GAGUUUGAUCCUGGCUCAGGACGAACGCUGGCGGCGCGCCUAACACAUGCAAGUCGAACGAGCGAGAGAGAGCUUGCUUUCUCGAGCGAGUGGCGAACGGGUGAGUAACGCGUGAGGAACCUGCCUCAAAGAGGGGGACAACAGUUGGAAACGACUGCUAAUACCGCAUAAGCCCACGGCUCGGCAUCGAGCAGAGGGAAAAGGAGCAAUCCGCUUUGAGAUGGCCUCGCGUCCGAUUAGCUAGUUGGUGAGGUAACGGCCCACCAAGGCGACGAUCGGUAGCCGGACUGAGAGGUUGAAUGGCCACAUUGGGACUGAGACACGGUCCAGACUCCUACGGGAGGCAGCAGUGGGGAAUAUUGGGCAAUGGGCGCAAGCCUGACCCAGCAACGCCGCGUGAGGGAAGAAGGCUUUCGGGUUGUAAACCUCUGUCCUUGGUGACGAAGGAAGUGACGGUAGCCAAGGAGGAAGCCCCGGCUAACUACGUGCCAGCAGCCGCGGUAAUAC
rnacentral:rRNA from 1 species